GCCCUUUGGGUCCAACCUCCCACCCGUGUUUAUUUACCUUGUUGCUUCGGCGGGCCCGCCUUAACUGGCCGCCGGGGGGCUUACGCCCCCGGGCCCGCGCCCGCCGAAGACACCCUCGAACUCUGUCUGAAGAUUGUAGUCUGAGUGAAAAUAUAAAUUAUUUAAAACUUUCAACAACGGAUCUCUUGGUUCCGGCAUCGAUGAAGAACGCAGCGAAAUGCGAUACGUAAUGUGAAUUGCAAAUUCAGUGAAUCAUCGAGUCUUUGAACGCACAUUGCGCCCCCUGGUAUUCCGGGGGGCAUGCCUGUCCGAGCGUCAUUGCUGCCCUCAAGCCCGGCUUGUGUGUUGGGCCCCGUCCUCCGAUUCCGGGGGACGGGCCCGAAAGGCAGCGGCGGCACCGCGUCCGGUCCUCGAGCGUAUGGGGCUUUGUCACCCGCUCUGUAGGCCCGGCCGGCGCUUGCCGAUCAACCCAAAUUUUUAUCCAGGUUGACCUCGGAUCAGG
rnacentral:rRNA from 1 species